rfam:Dipodomys ordii contig_13460, whole genome shotgun sequence.
GGUGGCUCAGUGGUAGAGCACUUGACUUGCAUGCAUAAGGCCCUGGGUUCGAUUCCUCAGCACCA